rnacentral:rRNA from 1 species
CAGAGUUAGCCGGAGCUUAUUCCUCAGGUACCGUCAGUACUGCACACGUAUUAAGCAUAGCAGAUUUCGCUCCUGAUAAAAGUAGCUUUACAACCCGAAGGCCUUCUUCACACACGCAGGCAUUGCGUGGAUCAUGGCUUGCAGCCCAUUAGUCCAAUAUUCCCCACUGCUGCCUCCCGUAGGA